UCCUUCUCUACACCUCCUGCCUCUGCUCUUCCUGUUCUCUCCUCCUCCCCUUCUCUUCCCUUCCUUCCAUCCAUCUGCUGUCCAGUCAGGAGAUCCCUGAGGGAGCCACAUCUCUGCCAGGCUAUCGUAUAUAAGGUUUUAGAGAUUUGGGCAUCCCUUGCUCUGUGCGAACAAGUUCUGCCUAUGGUCUCUUUUAUCCUGUCUUCCAUGGACUGAAUCUCUUCUCCUGGGCCGAGUCUUUCCCUCCAGGCUGAGCCCAUGUGAGCCAUGUGUUGAACCACAAGAGCUAUGGGGGCCGUGCUGAGAUGACCUCACCCUUCACUGGCCUGGGGAUAGCUGACCCUGCCCUGGGAUAACUGAACCUAUGACUCUGGCACUGGAGAGCUGGCCCUGCCCUUCAUAGGAGAGCACCCCCAACUUAGGAAAGCUGGCCCCAACCUCCGUGGGUGUAGGAGAGCUGGCUUUAACCCUUGCCUGAGGGGGCUGGUCCCAGCAGACCAGACUGACCAACUCAGCUACCAUCCAGACCCACAUCCAAGGCUUUGAGUUGGUACUCUCCAGCAUCUACCCCAUUGGUGACCUGCUGGAGCACAUGAAGAAACAGGAAUGUGGAACCGCAGCCACAGGAUCCCCAUGACUGGGGCAACAGCAGGAUACCUGAGAGGAGUUAUGGUAAGGGUCCAGUAUCAAUGGUGUAACAGAAGCCGGAGGUCUGGAACCUGACCAACAACACAUUACACAAUGAACCUGUGCAAGUAAAGCUGUUUGGACAAAAGGGUCUACUGGAUGGUACACAGCAGCAUCCAAUGUCACUAAGAUGAAUGGAGAGGUGGAAUGGAGGGAGGAGUGAAGUGAUUUUGUUUGGUUGUUUAAAAAUUAAUAUUCUUAUUUAUAUUAAAAAAUUUUAUUAUUUCUUUUUAAGUUUUCCUUUGUGGGGGCCAUAAAAGGGUGAAGGGCAGAG